rnacentral:misc_RNA from 1 species
GAUGAAGAACGCAGCGAAAUGCGAUAAGUAAUGUGAAUUGCAGAAUUCAGUGAAUCAUCGAAUCUUUGAACGCACAUUGCGCCCGCCAGUAUUCUGGCGGGCAUGCCUGUUCGAGCGUCAUUACAACCCUCAGGCCCCCGGGCCUGGCGUUGGGGAUCGGCGGAGCCCCCCGUGGGCACACGCCGUCCCCCAAAUACAGUGGCGGUCCCGCCGCAGCUUCCAUCGCGUAGUAGCUAACACCUCGCGACUGGAGAGCGGCGCGGCCACGCCGUAAAACACCCAACUCUUCUGAAGUUGACCUCGAAUCAGGUAGGAAUACUCGCUGAACUUAAGCAUAUCAAUAAGCGGAGGA